GACGAACGCUGGCGGCGUGCUUAACACAUGCAAGUCGAACGGAAAGGCCCUGCUUUUGUGGGGUGCUCGAGUGGCGAACGGGUGAGUAACACGUGAGUAACCUGCCCUUGACUUUGGGAUAACUUCAGGAAACUGGGGCUAAUACCGGAUAGGAGCUCCUGCUGCAUGGUGGGGGUUGGAAAGUUUCGGCGGUUGGGGAUGGACUCGGGGCUUAUCAGCUUGUUGGUGGGGUAGUGGCUUACCAAGGCUUUGACGGGUAGCCGGCCUGAGAGGGUGAACGGCCACAAUGGGACUGAGAUACGGCCCAGACGCCUACGGGAGGCAGCAGUGGGGAAUAUUGCACAAUGGGCGGAAGCCUGAUGCAGCAGCGCCGCGUGCGGGAUGACGGCCUUCGGGUUGUAAACCGCUUUCGCCUGUGACGAAGCGUGAGUGACGGUAAUGGGUAAAGAAGCACCGGCUAACUACGUG
rnacentral:rRNA from 1 species